AGUGAGAGGGGAGAAGGGAAGGAAUAUGGCCUAGUUAGGGAAAAGGAGGCGGUACGAGGUUGUCCUGGUUGAGGAACCACUGGUUAUCACAACACGGAUGUGAUAAGCAGGUGACGUACACAGUGCGGUCAGCGGAAAUACCAGAGGUAUUGAAUUGAGAUGAGCUCCUUCUGUUGAUCACUGAGAACAAUGGUGCGGACUGGCUGACAGGCAGAGGCUACAGGCUGACGGUACACAAAUAUUGGUACCAAAUGGUCCAUAAGAAGAUUAUCUGCUUUAUGAAGUUCCUUGCUUACUCAACCCAGUGUUGAUGUUGCCACAGCCGACGUCACAGCCGACGUCACGGCGUGGGAUAAUUUCGCACGCUUUAGUUAUCAGCGGAGACAUCGCCGGAAGCUUGUGACGUCUAUAUAUCCUGCUCUCUACUCUAUGUCCAUCUUGAAGUAUGGCGCCUGGGGGAAGGCCUAACAUUUAUAUGGAACAGAAGUUCUACACACUGUAUAAGGCCUGUAGUAAAACACUUACGUCAUAAUUGUACAAUAAUCACAAGAGACUUGAACCCACAAUGACGAGACUGCUAAUUACAAAAUGAAAUUGUAAUUAUUUCAUUCAUUUUAACUCAUUUGUCACCAUGGAAACUCCUCACCAUAAUCGAGGGGAAUCAAAGAGGAUAUGAUAGUCCCCAUUGCGACUAUCAUAGCCCAUUACACCACAUAUACAUAUUGUUUCUCUGUAUUAUUGUAAGUUUCGGCCAAAACGCUUUGCAUAAUGAUGACUUUAUUUCAUGAGCAGCCCCUGUACUUACAUACGUCUGCCUUAUGCUCUUUGUAUGCAUAUUAUUAUGAAUAAAGUAUUGUUAUUAUUAUUUCAUGCACCUGGGUGCUAGGAGACUCGAAUCACAGACCCCAAACGCGUGGGGUCCUUAUUUCCACGGAAGUGUGGAUGACAAUUUAUUAUUAUUAUUAUUAUUAUUAUUAUUAUUAUUAUUAUUAUUAUUAUUAUUAUUAUUAUUGAUUUUUAAUUUGUAUUAAUAUUAGUAUUAUUAAUUAUUAUUAUUACUAUUAUUAUUAUUUAUUUAGUUAUUAUUAUUAUUACUUUUGUUGUUAUUAUUAUUAUUAUUAUUAUUAUUAUUGAGAAAAUCAGUAGGAGUCAUGAAGAUGAUUCGAACCUGCAAUUGGGUUCUCGCAAGCACACGCCGUAAAUCACUGGACCACUAUACGCAUAUGAAGUAAUGUAACUUGGGAUUGAACUGAAUCCUCUAAGGUUUCCUGAGGCAUCCAUCUGACACGAAAUCAAUAUUUCACCCAUUACCGGCAUACACUCUGGCUGUGGUAUAGGAAUUCGACCCCCAACGCUUUCUCAGAUGCACAAAGAAAUCCUAUUAAUAUAAGUGUGUGCUUGGGAGUACCCAGUGUGCAAGUUCGAAUCCUCCUUAUGAUUCCUAGUUACUCUUUCAUUGAAACAACACGUUAAUGUGAUUUCUUUGCGCAUUAUUAUUAUUAUUAUUAUUAUUAUUAUUAUUAUUAUUAUUAUUAUUAUUAUUAUUAUUAUUAUUAUUAUUAUUAUUAUUG
rnacentral:lncRNA from 1 species